GAUGAACGCUAGCGGCAGGCUUAAUACAUGCAAGUCGAGGGGCAGCGCGGGUAGCAAUACCUGGCGGCGACCGGCAAACGGGUGCGGAACACGUACGCAACCUUCCCAUAACUGGUGAAUAGCCCUCCGAAAGGAGGAUUAAUACACCGUAACAUAACGAAGAGGCAUCUUUUUGUUAUUAUAGUAGCAAUACGGUUUUGGAUGGGCGUGCGCCUGAUUAGGUAGUUGGCGGGGUAACGGCCCACCAAGCCUGCGAUCAGUAACUGGUGUGAGAGCACGACCAGUCACACGGGCACGGAGACACGGGCCCGACUCCUACGGGAGGCAGAAGUAAGGAAUAUGGGUGAAUGGACGAAAGUCUGACCCAGCCAUGCCGCGUGAAGGAUUAAGGCCCUCUGGGUUGUAAACUUCUUUUAUCUGGGACGAAAAAAGGGCAUUCUUGCUCACUUGACGGUACCAGAGGAAUAAGCACCGGCUAACUCCGUGCCAGCAGCAGCCGCCG
rnacentral:rRNA from 1 species